rnacentral:lncRNA from 1 species
UCAAAGUAUGACCAUCCGAAGGACCUCGGGGUCCCUACGAAUCUUAGAUCUGAAGCAUUCCUAGGGGUAUAUAAAUGGAUUUCCUUUGAAAUCCAUUUCAUUUCACACUCCUUUCUCUCUCUUACUCCCGCUGCUCUCUACUCUCUCCUCUCUCUACUCCUCUCUCCAAACCCUUCUUCGGCUGCCACCCUAAACACCCUUGACCACCCCUAGAACCACCCACAAACUUAGAUUUUGGUUGAACUUCAACCGGAAUCUUCAUACAUUCAAAUAAAAUCCCCAUAUCACCCUUCACCCUUCAACCUUCAUACAUGGGUUCUUCAAAUGAACCCUAAUCAAACCCCUAACCCAGAAACCCUUCCACACAAGAACCCUAACCCUCAAAUCGAAGAACCCUAACCCCGAACCGAAGAACCCUACCUCUAUUUCUCAACCCAAAAAACCCUAGGGAUGAACCCUAACAAUGUUCAUCCUUGACUUAUGAACCCUAACCCCCAAAUUUUCCAGAAAUAAAAAAUAUUCCCCAAAUCAACCCUUAAAGUUGGCUGAUCCAUAAAUCGGUCUUCCCUACACCCUGAUCAUAACAUCAUAUCAACAAAAUUAAAACACAGGAUCCGAAACCCAACAUUAAAACAACAUCGAACCCUAAACUUUUCAACACAUUACCAUACCACGCAUGAUAUAUGCAGAUAAAAGCAAGUGAAUAAAGAAGAAGAAAAGAAUCAACCCUUAAGGACGCGGCUAUCUCUGGUAAAAAGGUAAUUGAUUCGAGCAUUUUAUUUCCUCUCUUGUAUGUGUUGAUCUUUCCCUCUCCUUCUAUAAUUCCUUUUCUUUGUUUAAUGUGAGGUGCUAUCGGAUUUUCAAAGAGGCUAAGCUUAGAAGAAUUAUGGUUUCAAUGUGAAACCCUAAUCUCAAGUUAAUUUGAGCUUUGGUGAUGGAUUGGGUUUGCAGCAGCAAAAAGUUCUUCUCUUAUGGUUUUUUUUCGUCCCUGAUUCAGUUUUAGAGUUAGGUUUUUAUAGUUAAUUUUUAGGUUUUUGUAUUUAAUUAGAUUGAUUCAAUUAGGAAAUUUGUAAUCUUAUUGUAAUUGCAAUUGUGAUUUUGAUGAAUUUUGUGUUAGAAAUAUAUAUUAGGUUUGAAUUUAACUGAUUGUAUUUGGUUCGACUUUGGUUUGUAAUUCGCAAUUUGAAUAUAAAAAAAAUAAAAUGGAAGUUUUGAUUGAAUUGAUUUACAGGUUUUUGAUUUCUUUUGAAUUCCAUUUCUGCGCGCCUU